GCGCCGUUCCUCAUCAAGGACGACCGCCUCAACGUGAGGUGCGACGUCGCCGUGCUGGUGAUGGAGACCAAGCCUCGCAACAGGUGGUUCAUGCAACUCGAUCGCGCGAUUAACGGGUUUCGUUAGAUGGCAAAAGCCUACUAAUUGUUUGAGCAGGUUAUUUUAUAUAGUAUAAUAAUCCUAGCACAUCAACCCGUUUGUAAAAGAUAUACUAUUAGGUUUGUGCCUGAACAUUGUUACGGGAGUAUAAAAGCUUUAAUGAAAGGUAUCGAUGCGUUUUCUCA
rnacentral:lncRNA from 1 species